GAUGAACGCUGGCGGCGUGCCUAAUACAUGCAAGUCGAGCGAACAGACGAGGAGCUUGCUCCUCUGACGUUAGCGGCGGACGGGUGAGUAACACGUGGAUAACCUACCUAUAAGACUGGGAUAACUUCGGGAAACCGGAGCUAAUACCGGAUAAUAUAUUGAACCGCAUGGUUCAAUAGUGAAAGACGGUUUUGCUGUCACUUAUAGAUGGAUCCGCGCCGCAUUAGCUAGUUGGUAAGGUAACGGCUUACCAAGGCAACGAUGCGUAGCCGACCUGAGAGGGUGAUCGGCCACACUGGAACUGAGACACGGUCCAGAAUCCUACGGGAGGCAGCAGUAGGGAAUCUUCCGCAAUGGGCGAAAGCCUGACGGAGCAACGCCGCGUGAGUGAUGAAGGUCUUCGGAUCGUAAAACUCUGUUAUUAGGGAAGAACAAAUGUGUAAGUAACUAUGCACGUCUUGACAGUACCUAAUCAGAAAGCCACGGCUAACUACGUG
rnacentral:rRNA from 1 species